UGCCAGCAGCCGCGGUAAUACGAAGGGACCUAGCGUCGUUCGGAAUUACUGGGCUUAAAGAGUUCGUAGGUGGUUAAAAAAGUUGGUGGUGAAAUCCCAGAGCUUAACUCUGGAACUGCCAUCAAAACUUUUUAGCUAGAGUAUGAUAGAGGAAAGCAGAAUUUCUAGUGUAGAGGUGAAAUUCGUAGAUAUUAGAAAGAAUACCGAUUGCGAAGGCAGUUCACUGGACCGUGAUCGACGCUGAGGAGCGAAAGCUAGGGGAGCAAACAGGAUUAGAUA
rnacentral:rRNA from 1 species